rnacentral:rRNA from 1 species
CUACGGGGUGCUCCAGUUUCGAAUAAUUCACAAUGGGCGCAAGCCUGAUGAUGCGACGUUACGUGAAGGAAGAAAGCUUUAAGUUGUAAACUUCUGUCGUUAAGGAACAAAAAAUUAAGUAGUACUUUUUAUAUUGAGUUAACUUAAAAAGGAAGCAGUGGCUAAUUUCGUGCCAGCAGCCGCGGUAAUACGGGAACUGCAAGCGUUGCUCGGUUUUAUUUGGCGUAAAGAGUACGUAGGCUGUUAUAUAUGUUAAUUGUUAAAUUUUAAAGUUAAUCUUUAAAUUUGCUGUUAAAACUAUAUAACUAGAAUUUCAAAGAGGUAAGUGGAAUUUCAAGUGUAGCGGUGAAAUGCGUAGAUAUUUGAAGGAACACCAAUGGCGAAAGCAACUUACUGGGUGAUAAUUGACGCUAAAGUACGAAAGUAUAGGGAGCAAAAGGGAUUAGAUACCCUCGUAGUC